rnacentral:rRNA from 1 species
UACGGAGGGGCUAGCGUUGUUCGGAAUUACUGGGCGUAAAGCGCGCGUAGGCGGACCUGCAAGUCGGGGGUGAAAGCCCGAGGCUCAACCUCGGAACUGCCUUCGAUACUGCGGGUCUCGAGUCCGGGAGAGGUGAGUGGAAUUCCUAGUGUAGAGGCGAAAUUCGUAGAUAUUAGGAAGAACACCGGUGGCGAAGGCGGCUCUCUGGAACGGUACUGACGCUGAGACGCGAAAGCGUGGGGAGCGAACAGG